UACAGAGGGUGCGAGCAUUGUCCGGAAUCACUGGGCGUAAAGGGCGCGUAGGCGGCUUGAUAAGCGUGCGGUGAAAGCCCGGGGCUCAACCCCGGGUCGGCCGUGCGAACUGUCGAGCUGGAGCACUGUAGAGGCAGGUGGAAUUCCGGGUGUAGCGGUGGAAUGCGUAGAGAUCCGGAAGAACACCGGUGGCGAAGGCGGCCUGCUGGGCAGUGGCUGACGCUGAGGCGCGACAGCGUGGGGAGCAAACAGG
rnacentral:rRNA from 1 species